GUGGGGAAUCUUGCGCAAUGGGCGAAAGCCUGACGCAGCCAUGCCGCGUGAAUGAUGAAGGUCUUAGGAUUGUAAAAUUCUUUCACCGGGGACGAUAAUGACGGUACCCGGAGAAGAAGCUCCGGCUAACUUCGUGCCAGCAGCCGCGGUAAUACGAAGGGGGCUAGCGUUGCUCGGAAUUACUGGGCGUAAAGGGCGCGUAGGCGGACAGCUUAGUCAGAGGUGAAAGCCCAGGGUCCAACCUUGGAAUUGCCUUUGAUACUGGCUGUCUUGAGUUGGGGAGAGGGUAGUGGAACUCCGAGUGUAGAGGUGAAAUUCGUAGAUAUUCGGAAGAACAACAGUGGCGAAGGCGACUCACUGGCCCAAUACUGACGCUGAGGCGCGAAAGCGUGGGGAGCAAACAGGAUUAGAAACCCCAGUAGUCC
rnacentral:rRNA from 1 species